CUUAGUAAGCAGUGUAUCAUCAGGAGGGGACAGUCAGCCAUCUCGUACAGAAAACAGAGGUCCUUUACCAAAUCCCUGGGCUCCUCAGUCCAGCUUGCAGAGUUCCACAAGUACCAGCACCAGUGGUGAGAGCAGUGGCAGUAGUAAUGUCGGAAAUAGCACAUCUGCCAGUAUGGGACAGAGCUCAACUAUACCAAAUUUGGGACCUGGACUAGGAGUUGGUAUGUUCAACACACCAGGAAUGCAGAGCUUGUUACAGCAGAUAACAGAAAAUCCACAACUUAUGCAAAAUAUGUUGUCUGCACCCUAUAUGAGAAGCAUGAUGCAGUCAUUGAGCCAGAAUCCUGAUCUUGCAGUACAGAUGAUGUUGAAUAAUCCUUUAUUUGCUGGAAAUCCUCAACUUCAGGAGCAAAUGAGGCAACAGCUUCCUACUUUCCUUCAACAAGUAAGAUGAGAUACUAAGUGUUGUUAAUAAAUGUCUGAAAUUGUGAGCAAUUUUUGCAAUAAACUGGUUCCUUUCCUUGAUUUCACUUAAAGCUAGAUUCUGUUAUGUGUAUUCUCAUUAGCUUCAGACAGAGUUGCAUUUUCCCUUGAUAAUUAAAUGCUUGAUUUAUCUCUCCAUGCCUUUCAAAAGUUAAAUCUGGCUUUCAGUGGAUGUGUUUGUCUGUGACUAGCACAACUGCUUUGAUUUGCUGUCGCGUCUUUGCUUAGAAGAAAUGACUUGUUCUUACUGCGCACCAGCCAGAGAAAACCUGUUUCUUACAUGAUUUCUUCUGCAAAUUAAAGAAAAAAGAUUAUUACUUUCCCCACUACUAAGAUAAGCUUUUAUGGUACUUUUCUCAUACCUCCUCCAACCUGCCCUGAAUAUUUGGGGUAAAGAGACCUUACAGCAUGCCUUGAAAGAGGCGAGUCAUAAGCUAAUUCAAAAGAUAUCUUAACUGUCACAGCGUAUACUAGGACUGUGUCCUUUAAAUAGGACUAAGCAAAAUUUUUAGGAAUUAAAAAUUUAAUCCAGUGUAUGAGUUCCAUUAUUAGGCAGUCCUUGCAAAUCAAAGUAAAUGUGUGUUGCCAGGAUCUCAUUGCAUGGAGGCAGUAUUAUGAGUAAAAUAAAUAACAACAUUAAUUUCAUGCCAUUGAUGAUUGCCCAAUGCUCCAAACUAUCUAGAUCCUUCUGUGAGGCCUCUUGUCCCUCGAGGAAGUCACCAGCAUCUCCCAGUUCGGUAUCAUCAGCAAACUUGCUAAUGGUGCAUUCAACACCUGCAUCCAGAUCACUGAUAAAAAUAUUGAACAGAACUGGCCCUAGAAUUGAGCCCUGAGGAACACUGCUGGUGACUGGUCACCAGCCAGAUGUAGCCCCAUUCACAACCACCCUUUGAGCCCUGC